AGAGCCCGGGUGGUGUGGAUGUAGGCUGCGGACGGACGGACAGACGCACCGUGACAAUCGCACACAUGAGAUAGAGCAUUGGCUCUCAACCUGUGGCACGCGUACCUCUGGUGGCACACGGCGCCACUUAGUGGUACGCAGAGACAUUCUAAAGGGCAUUGACUUCCGUAAGCAUCCCUAGACGAAAUCAACAACCGGGCCCAAGCCGAGCAGCGCCUACCUGGCAGCUCCAGGAUCUGCGUGAGGGGCUGACACUCGUAGUGAGCGGAGGACACCGAGCACUCCGCCCAGGGACCCUUGAUGUUGCUCUCUUCGGACUUCUUGCAGGCGUUCAUGCCGUAUUUACACAUGAUGACCCAGUUGUUGGUGGAGGUGGCGACCAGGAUGCACAGCCACCCGAGGCAGCCCAUGAGGAAGCCGCCAACUUGCGGACAGGCCAUGGAUGACAGAAGAUCGUUCACUAAAUACACGGAGUGAGAACAAAAACAAACGAGACUCGCAAAUCCUAA